rnacentral:rRNA from 1 species
AGAACGAACGCUGGCGGCAGGCUUAACACAUGCAAGUCGAACGGUUGUAGCAAUACAGCAGUGGCAGACGGGUGAGUAACACGUGGGAACCUUCCUAGGGGUACGGAACAACUCAGGGAAACUUGAGCUAAUACCGUAUACGUCCGUGAGGAGAAAGAUUUAUCGCCCCUAGACGGGCCCGCGUAGGAUUAGGUAGUUGGUGAGGUAACGGCUCACCAAGCCUACGAUCCUUAGCUGAUCUGAGAGGAUGAUCAGCCACACUGGGACUGAGACACGGCCCAGACUCCUACGGGAGGCAGCAGUGGGGAAUCUUGGACAAUGGGCGCAAGCCUGAUCCAGCCAUGCCGCGUGAGUGAAGAAGGCCUUCGGGUUGUAAAGCUCUUUUACCAGGGACGAUAAUGACGGUACCUGGAGAAGUAAGCCCGGCAAACUUCGUGCCAGCAGCCGC